rnacentral:rRNA from 1 species
CGAUUUACUUCGGUAAAGAGCGGCGGACGGGUGAGUAACGCGUGGGUAACCUACCCUGUACACACGGAUAACAUACCGAAAGGUAUGCUAAUACGGGAUAAUGUAUUUGAGAGGCAUCUCUUGAAUAUCAAAGGUGAGCCAGUACAGGAUGGACCCGCGUCUGAUUAGCUAGUUGGUAAGGUAACGGCUUACCAAGGCGACGAUC